UCCUGGUGGCUCAGAGGGGAAAGUAUCUGCUUGCAAUACAGGAGACCCAGGUUUGAUUCCUGGGUCAGGAA
rfam:TPA: Bos taurus chromosome 14, whole genome shotgun sequence.